ACGGGCAGCAGUCGGGAAUAUUGCGCAAUGGAGGAAACUCUGACGCAGUGACGCCGCGUAUAGGAAGAAGGUUUUAGGAUUGUAAACUAUUUUAGACAGGGAAGAAACAAGACAGUACCUGUAGAAUAAGCUCCGGCUAACUACGUGCCAGCAGCCGCGGUAAUACGUAGGGAGCAAGCGUUAUCCGGAAUUAUUGGGUGUAAAGGGUGCGUAGACGGGAAUACAAGUUAGUUGUGAAAGCCCUCGGCUCAACUGAGGAACUGCAACUAAAACUAUAUUUCUUGAGUGCAGGAGAGGAAAGCGGAAUUCCUAGUGUAGCGGUGAAAUGCGUAGAUAUUAGGAGGAACACCAGUGGCGAAGGCGGCUUUCUGGACUGUAACUGACGUUGAGGCACGAAAGUGUGGGGAGCAAACAGGAUUAGAUACCCUGGUA
rnacentral:rRNA from 1 species